rnacentral:rRNA from 1 species
CCUACGGGAGGCUGCAGUGAGGAAUAUUGGUCAAUGGACGAGAGUCUGAACCAGCCAAGUAGCGUGAAGGAUGACUGCCCUAUGGUUUGUAAACUUCUUUUAUAUGGGAAUAAAACGUUCCACGUGUGGGAUUUUGUAUGUACCAUAUGAAUAAGCAUCGGCUAACUCCGUGCCAGCAGCCGCGGUAAUACGGAGGAUCCGAGCGUUAUCCGGAUUUAUUGGGUUUAAAGGGAGCGUAGGUGGAUUAUUAAGUCAGUUGUGAAAGUUUGUGGCUCAACCGUAAAAUUGCAGUUGAAACUGGCAGUCUUGAGUACAGUAGAGGUGGGCGGAAUGCGUGGUGUAGCGGUGAAAUGCUUAGAUAUCACGAAGAACUCCGAUUGCGAAGGCAGUUCACUAGACUGCAACUGACACUGAGGCUCGAAAGUGUGGGUAUCAAACAGGAUUAGAUACCCGAGUAGUC